UUCCGGUUGAUCCUGCCGGAGGCCACUGCUAUUGGGAUCCGAUUAAGCCAUGCGAGUCGAGAGGGUUCGGCCCUCGGCAGACCGCUCAGUAACACGUGGAUAAUUUACCCUUAGGUGGAGGAUAACCUCGGGAAACUGAGAAUAAUACUCCAUAGAUCUAGGAUGCUGGAAUGCAUCUAGAUUAAAAGCUCUGGCGCCUAAGGAUAAGUCUGCGGACUAUCAGGCAGUAGUCAGGGUAAUGGCCCGACUAACCUACGACGGAUAUGGGUUGUGAGAGCAAUAGCCCAGAGACGAUAUCUGAGACACGAUAUCGGGCCCUACGGGGCGCAGCAGGCGCGAAACCUUCACAAUGUGCGAAAGCACGAUGAGGGGAUCCCAAGUGUUGGUUCGUAAGAAUCAACUGUUUCUCCGUCUAAAAAACAGAGAGAGUAAGAACUGGGUAAGACGGGUGCCAGCCGCCGCGGUAAUACCUGCAGUUCAAGUGGUGGCCACUAUUAUUGGGCCUAAAACGUCCGUAGCCGGUUCAGUAAAUGCCUGAGUAAAUUGUGUAGCUUAACUAUACGAAUAUCGGGUAGACUGCUAAACUUGAGACCGGGAGAGGCUAGGGGUACUCCUAGGGUAGAGGUGAAAUUCUGUAAUCCUAGGGGGACCACCAGUGGCGAAGGCGUCUAGCCAGAACGGGUCUGACGGUGAGGGACGAAGCCCUGGGUCACAAACCGGAUUAGAUACCCGGGUAGUCCAGGGUGUAAACGCUGCUCGCUUGAUGUUAGUUGGGCUCCGAGCCCAACUAGUGUCGGAGAGAAGUUGUUAAGCGAGCUGCCUGGGAAGUACGGUCGCAAGGCUGAAACUUAAAGGAAUUGGCGGGGGAGCACUGCAACGGGUGGAGCGUGCGGUUUAAUUGGAUUCAACGCCGGG
rnacentral:rRNA from 1 species